GACUGCAGGCUGCAACUCGCCUGCACGAAGUCAGAAUUGCUAGUAAUCGUAGGUCAGCAUACUACGGUGAAUACGUUCCCGGGCCUUGUACACACCGCCCGUCAAACCAUGAGAGUUGGCAACACCCGAAGUCGGUAGUCUAACCGCAAGGAGGACGCCGCCGAAGGUGGGGUUGAUGAUUAGGGUUAAGUCGUAACAAGGUACC
rnacentral:rRNA from 1 species